UAUAUGUGAUGUAUGUAUAUAUGUUUUUUUCAUCAGAAUGAACAAUUUCAUCAAUAUGGGAAAUUCCUUCUUUAUAAACUCCAUUUGCUGCUGCAGAAAGAACAAAAAAAAAAGUGAUUUAGUGGGGUGUCAUGGAUGCUGUCUGAGAGCCAAAACUGUUACCCAUUUCAGGAUUCUACAAUAUCCUACAUUUAAACUAUGCUGAUCUAAGAUGUACACAUGGCUCCUCAUGGUUUCUGCUGCUCAAGAAUUAAGUCUUCUAAUUAUUUCUGUGGUUGCUGCAGAGGAGUUUGAUUUUCAGCUUCCUGAUCUCACAUUGCCAGAUUCUAAUAUAUCAACUAUUCUUAAAUAUAUUUGUUUAUGUUGAGGUAUUUAGUCUUAGAUACAUAUAAAUUAAUUCACAGCAUUCUUUUCAAAGUCAUUGAAAUAAGAAAAAGAACAUUUUAAAUGUAGGAAAUAAUUCUUUCUGGACUAUUGCUUGGAAUAUUCUAAAUUUUAGUUAUUUUGUAGAAAAACAUGAAAUGUAAGUAUCACUGUAUUUAAAAAGCUCUGUAAUCCCCUUUAGUGCCAUUUAUGCACUCUCCUAUUAGUGUUUUUUAGGCUCUAAUUUUGUUCUGACAAAGAGUUCUAGAUACUAGUUACCUGACAAUUAGUUGCUUUGGGGAAAAAAAAAAAUUAACCCUUCUGUGAAUGUGAAGCCUCUACCCAACCCCAUUUUUCUUUAAUAAUUCAGAAAUAUUUCAUAUCUAUUCUGUUCUGAUUCAAACUUUUGACUUUAUUCAAAGCUGGAUGACUAAGCUGUAUAUACUUCUCUGUUAUGAGUCUGUGCUUUUCUGACACACUGAGUUAAAUUGUACACCGUAUAUUUGUACACUAAGGCCCAGUGGCACACUCUUGGCCUGAGUCCAGUAAAGGAUCUGCUACAGUAUGUCUGUUAAAACAACUUAUUCUUAUGAUCUAAUUGGUCUAAGAGUACUUGUAGGUGUCUAAGACUCUUCAGAUCAUCACUGCUUACUUGCAAAAAUAGAAUUGGGUAUAGGACUUACUUGUGUCAAUAGUAUGGACCAAGUGACACUGGCAGGCAUGAGCCAAUUGAGUGAUAAUGAUCAAAUUAGUUAUAUCAACUCCCAUUGUACUUCUGAUCCUACUUCUUCAAUUUGUGCUAUAAAAGGAGGCUGCACUCAAAGCUCGAGGUUUUCAGUUGCCAACUGGAGUCCAGCUUUAUUGGGAGCCCAGACCUCUCUCAAUAAACCUAAUUCUUUUUGGAUUGGAGACUUGGUUUUUGCUUUUUUGUGUCUUGGCUAAUACAUUUUCACCACACUUCAAAUUAGGCUUUGUGUUUUGUGUAAUUGCUAAUGGAAAAUUUUGAAUAAAAGACAUUUGCUUACAGCUUGA